rnacentral:rRNA from 1 species
CCUACGGGUGGCAGCAGUGAGGAAUAUUGGUCAAUGGGCGCGAGCCUGAACCAGCCAAGUAGCGUGAAGGAUGACUGCCCUACGGGUUGUAAACUUCAUUUAUAAAGGAAUAAAGUGAGGCACGUGUGCUUUUUUGUAUGUACUUUAUGAAUAAGGAUCGGCUAACUCCGUGCCAGCAGCCGCGGUAAUACGGAGGAUCCGGGCGUUAUCCGGAUUUAAUGGGGUUAAAGGGAGCGUAGAUGGGUUGGUAAGUCAGUUGUGAAGGUUUGCGGCUCAACCGUUAAAUUGCAAUUGAUACUGGCAGCCUUGAGUACAGGUGAGGUAGGCGGAAUUCGUGGUGUAGCGGUGAAAUGCUUAGAUAUCACGAAGAACUCCGAUUGCGAAGGCAGCUUACUAAACUGCCACUGACAUUGAUGCUCGAAAGUGUGGGUAUCAAACAAGAUUAGAUACCCCUGUAGUC